rnacentral:rRNA from 1 species
UACAGAGGUCUCAAGCGUUGUUCGGAUUCAUUGGGCGUAAAGGGCGCGUAGGCUGCGGGGCAAGUCGGGUGUGAAAUCUCAGAGCUCAACUCUGAAACUGCACUCGAUACUGCUUUUGCUCGAGGACUGGAGAGGGAGAUUGGAAAUUUUCACGGUGUAGCAGUGAAAAUGCGUAGAUAUCGGAAGGAACACCGGUGGGCGAAGGGCGGCAUCCUGGACCCAAUUUUCUGACGCUGAGUGAGCGAAAAGCCAGGGGAGCAAAACGGGG